AGAGUUUGAUCAUGGCUCAGGAUGAACAUUGGCGGCAUGCUUAACACAUGCAAGUCGCACGCACCUUCGGGUGAGUGGCGAACGGGUGCGUAACACGUAGGUAAUCUGCCCUGAAGUGGGGAAUAACCACGAGAAAUCGUGGCUAAUACCGCAUAGUCUCCGCAAGGAGUAAAGUAGCAAUGCGCUUUAGGAGGAGCCUGCGGCCUAUCAGGUAGUUGGUGGGGUAACAGCCUACCAAGCCGACGACGGGUAGCUGACCUGAGAGGGUGGUCAGCCACAGGGGAACUGAGACACGGUCCCCACUCCUACGGGAGGCAGCAGUGAGGAAUAUUGGGCAAUGGGCGCAAGCCUGACCCAGCAAUGCCGCGUGCGGGAUGAAGGUUUUCGGAUCGUAAACCGCUUUUGAGAGGGAGUAGCAAGGAGAGUACCUCUCGAAUAAGUCACGGCUAACUACGUGCCAGCCGCCGCGGUAAUAC
rnacentral:rRNA from 1 species